GGAGGUGUGGCUCAGGGGCAGAGCACUUGCCUGCCAUGCAGAGAGCCCUGGGUUCAACCCCGAGCACCAGUA
rnacentral:tRNA from 1 species